rnacentral:rRNA from 1 species
GGCUCCGGAUGAACGCUAGCGACAGGCUUAACACAUGCAAGUCGAGGGGUAGAAGUUGCUUGCAACUUUGAGACCGGCGCACGGGUGCGUAACGCGUAUGCAAUCUACCUUGUACAGGGGGAUAGCCCAGAGAAAUUUGGAUUAAUACCCCAUAAUGUAAUUGAAUGGAAUCAUUUGAUUACUAAAGUUCCAACGGUACAAGAUGAGCAUGCGUCCUAUUAACUAGUUGGUGUGGUAACGGCAUACCAAGGCAACGAUAGGUAGGGGUCCUGAGAGGGAGAUCCCCCACACUGAUACUGAGACACGGACCAGACUCCUACAGGAGGCAGCAGUGAGGAAUAUUGGUCAAUGGGCGCAAGCCUGAACCAGCCAUGCCGCGUGCAGGAAGAAGCAUCUAUGGUGUGUAAUCUGCUUUUGUACGGGAAGAAACACUCCUACGUGUAGGAAUUUGACGGUACCGUAAGAAUAAGGAUCGGCUAACUCCGUGCCAGCAGCCGCGGUAAUACGGAGGAUCCAAGCGUUAUCCGGAAUCAUUGGGUUUAAAGGGUCCGUAGGCGGUUUAAUAAGUCAGUGGUGAAAGCCCAUCGCUUAACGAUGGAACGGCCAUUGAUACUGUUAGACUUGAAUUACUGGGAAGUAACUAGAAUAUGUAGUGUAGCGGUGAAAUGCUUAUAUAUUACAUGGAAUACCAAUUGCGAAGGCAGGUUACAUACCAGUGGAUUGACGCUGAUGGACGAAAGCGUGGGGAGCGAACAGGAUUAGAUACCAUGGUAGUCCACGCCGUAAACGAUGGAUACGAGCUGUUCGGAGCAAUCUGAGUGGCUAAGCGAAAGUCAUAAGUAUCCCACCUGGGGAGUACGUUCGCAAGAAUGAAACUCA